rnacentral:rRNA from 1 species
UGGGGAAUAUUGGACAAUGGGCGCAAGCCUGAUCCAGCCAUGCCGCGUGAGUGAUGAAGGCCCUAGGGUUGUAAAGCUCUUUCGACGGGGACGAUAAUGACGGUACCCGUAGAAGAAGCCCCGGCUAACUUCGUGCCAGCAGCCGCGGUAAUACGAAGGGGGCUAGCGUUGCUCGGAAUCACUGGGCGUAAAGGGCGCGUAGGCGGACGUUUAAGUCAGAGGUGAAAGCCCAGGGCUCAACCCUGGAAUGGCCUUUGAUACUGGACGUCUUGAGUCUGGUAGAGGUUGGUGGAACUGCGAGUGUAGAGGUGAAAUUCGUAGAUAUUCGCAAGAACACCGGUGGCGAAGGCGGCCAACUGGACCAGAACUGACGCUGAGGCGCGAAAGCGUGGGGAGCAAACAGGAUUAGAUACCCUGGUAGUCCACGCCGUAAACGAUGGAUGCUAGCCGUUGGCCGGUUUACCGGUCAGUGGCGCAGCUAACGCGUUAAGCAUCCCGCCUGGGGAGUACGGCCGCAAGGUU